GAUGAACGCUGGCGGCGUGCCUAAUACAUGCAAGUCGAGCGAACGGACGAGAAGCUUGCUUCUCUGAUGUUAGCGGCGGACGGGUGAGUAACACGUGGAUAACCUACCUAUAAGACUGGGAUAACUUCGGGAAACCGUAGCUAAUACCGGAUAAUAUUUUGAACCGCAUGGUUCAAAAGUGAAAGACGGUCUUGCUGUCACUUAUAGAUGGAUCCGCGCUGCAUUAGCUAGUUGGUAAGGUAACGGCUUACCAAGGCAACGAUGCAUAGCCGACCUGAGAGGGUGAUCGGCCACACUGGAACUGAGACACGGUCCAGACUCCUACGGGAGGCAGCAGUAGGGAAUUUUCCGCAAUGGGCGAAAGCCUGGCGGAGCAACGCCGCGUGAGUGAUGAAGGUCUUCGGAUCGUAAAACUCUGUUAUUAGGGAAGAACAUAUGUGUAAGUAACUGUGCACAUCUUGACGGUACCUAAUCAGAAAGCCACGGCUAACUACGUG
rnacentral:rRNA from 1 species